AUUGAACGCUGGCGGCAGGCCUAACACAUGCAAGUCGAACGAGUGGCGGACGGGUGAGUACUGUCUGGGAAACUGCCUGAUGGCGGGGGAUAACUGCUGGAAAAGGUAGCUAAUACCGCGUAACAUCCGAUGUGCGCAGAUGGGAUUAGAUAGUAGGUGGGGUAACGGCUCACCUAGGCGACGAUCCCUAGAUGGUCUGAGAGGAUGACCAGCCACACUGGAACUGAGACACGGUCCAGACUCCUACGGGAGGCAGCAGUGGGGAAUAUUGCACAAUGGGCGCAAGCCUGAUGCAGCCAUGCCGCGUGUAUGAAGAAGGCCUUCGGGUUGUAAAGUACUUUCAGCGGGGAGGCGUUACCCGCAGAGGAAGCACCGGCUAACUCCGUGCCAGCAGCCGCGGUAAUAC
rnacentral:rRNA from 1 species